rnacentral:rRNA from 1 species
AUUGAACGCUGGCGGAAUGCUUUACACAUGCAAGUCGAACGGCAGCACGGGGGCAACCCUGGUGGCGAGUGGCGAACGGGUGAGUAAUACAUCGGAACGUGCCCAGUCGUGGGGGAUAACGUAGCGAAAGCUACGCUAAUACCGCAUACGAUCUACGGAUGAAAGCGGGGGAUCGCAAGACCUCGCGCGAUUGGAGCGGCCGAUGGCAGAUUAGGUAGUUGGUGGGGUAAAGGCUCACCAAGCCUUCGAUCUGUAGCUGGCCUGAGAGGACGACCAGCCACACUGGGACUGAGACACGGCCCAGACUCCUACGGGAGGCAGCAGUGGGGAAUUUUGGACAAUGGGCGAAAGCCUGAUCCAGCCAUUCCGCGUGCAAGAUGAAGGCCCUCGGGUUGUAAACUGCUUUUGUACGGAACGAAACGGCCUUUUCUAAUACAGAGGGCUAAUGACGGUACCGUAAGAAUAAGCACCGGCUAACUACGUG